GUCUCUGUAGCGCAAUGGGUAGCGUUUUGAACUUUUAAUCCAAAGGACGUGGGUUCGAGUCUCAUCUGGGAUG